UACGAAGGGGGCUAGCGUUGCUCGGAAUCACUGGGCGUAAAGGGUGCGUAGGCGGGUCUUUAAGUCAGGGGUGAAAUCCUGGAGCUCAACUCCAGAACUGCCUUUGAUACUGAAGAUCUUGAGUUCGGGAGAGGUGAGUGGAACUGCGAGUGUAGAGGUGAAAAUUCGUAGAUAUUCGCAAGAACACCAGUGGCGAAGGCGGCUCACUGGCCCGAUACUGA
rnacentral:rRNA from 1 species